rnacentral:rRNA from 1 species
CACAAAUCUCAUUCGAAAUCACAUUCUACUCACCACACACCAGGCGUAUAUCAAACAAGUCAAAUUUAUUGGGCCACAAAUCUCAUUCGGAAUCACAUACUAUUCACCACAUACCAUGGCGUAUAUCAAACAAGGCAAAUUUAUUGAGCAUCACAAAACACUUCAGGUUUCAGGUCGGCUGCAAGACGCUGCAGGCUUUGCAGUUGCCACGCAUUCGCUGGCAUUCAAGCAGCUAGAACUAUAGUUACAGACUUGCGGGUAGAGAAGUCGAUAAUGGCUUCAAAACAGAACAAAGGUUUCUAACCACAAUAUAGAACUGACUUGAUCACGCGUUCUGCAAGCUACUUAUAUAGUGCAUACCAGAGAGAGUAAACGUUUCUGAUGAUUUGCUAGG